UACGGAGGGUGCAAACGUUGCUCGGAAUCAUUGGGCGUAAAGCGCACGUAGGCGGCUUUGUAAGUUAGAGGUGAAAGCCCAGGGCUUAACCCUGGAAUUGCCUUUAAGACUGCAUCGCUAGAAUCGUGGAGAGGUGAGUGGAAUUCCGAGUGUAGAGGUGAAAUUCGUAGAUAUUGGGAAGAACACCGGUGGCGAAGGCGGCGACCUGGUCCUUGACUGACGCUGAGGCGCGAAAGCGUGGGGAGCAAACAGG
rnacentral:rRNA from 1 species